AGAUGUGGCUGGGGUGAGAGUCACGGGCAAACAGGAGCCCUCCCAGGAGCUGGGGACAAGCUCAGGGCUCCUCCUCCCUCCCCAAAUCCUGAGCAGAUGGUUUACAGACCCAAACACAAGAGGACUAACACAAGAGGACUUAUAGGACAUGGAAGAGCGAAAAUAUGAAGCUUGCUCCCCAUCACUCUGAGAGGGACCAGUGGACCUUUCUUCCACAGCUGCACAGGCAGGCAGGCAGCCUGUGAUGGGGCCCUGCUCAGAAGACCCCCAUCUCUGCUGGGCCUCCCGGCUCCUGGGAUUCACCAGCCUACUCCUCAGCAUCUGCUGCACUGGGGUCAAGAGUUCUGGGACACAUGGUUCUGGAGUUCAGGAUUCUGGAGCCCAUGUUCAUCUGCACAGGGUUCGAGGAGGUUCUGUGUUGUUUCAUGUGAUCAGGAAGCAAGAAGCUAACCUGGAGGAGGUCACAUGGGGCUUUGGCCCUGACUCAAAUUACAGAGUCCUGCUGCGAGUCUAUGCUGGGGCAGACGCUCCCACUUGGGUCAGCCUCCAGGACAAGUACCAGCAGAGGGUCCAUGUGCCCGGCAUCUUGUCCCUGAAGAUUGAGAACCUGACCCCUGAGGACAGUGGACUGUACCGGGCUCGAGCCAGCUUCACUGGAGGAAUAGAACUUAACCAAGUUUUCCCCCUCACUGUCUAUGAGCCGGUGCCCCUUCCCCAGAUCCUGUUCAAGUUACCAUCCAUCACACCAAGCUGGUGCAAUGUCACCCUGGAGUGCAGAGCCUCAGGGGCCACAGAGGACCUGAACGUGACCUGGCAGAACAAGGGCCUCCCCAGGGAGCUGGAGCAGAGAGUGACACCGGGACCAGCCUCCAACUCCUGGACCUUGCCUGUGAACCUGCCCCUGAGCCAGCCCAAUGCCAGUCUCACCUGUGUGGUCAGCAACCAGGUGGACCAGAAAACUGCCACCUUAGACCUUGGGGAAGUCUGUGUCCAUGAUUCACAAGGACAGGUCAGUGCUGACCCCCUGCCAGGCAUCCUAGGGGCUGUCGUGGUUGUGCUGUUGAUCCUUGGAGGAGGACUGUACCUUUGGAAGACAUGUGAGAAGAAGAAGAAGAUGCAGACUGGAAGAGGUACAGAACUGCAGGAGGACCACAGGGACAAUGAUAGUGGCAUCCAGUAUGCGGAGCUGAGCCAGCAGGAGUCUCGAAAGGACAUGCACAAGGGUAUUGGUGAACAACAUUUAGAAGAAAAGGAGCCUGUUAAUACUGUCUACAGUGAGGUCCAUAAGCCAGAAAGAGAAGCCAUGAAGAUAAUUUAAUUGGAGGAGGUAGGAGAACUGGAACUCCUAGGACACCUCCACUCCGAGCUUGAUCCCUGCAGACACCUGCCUCUCUCAGCUCUGGUCCAGCUCCAGCCGCCGUGGUCUGCAUUACUCUGACCCUCCUGCCCUCGACUCCCUGGGCACACAUGGCCUUGUCACAGCCUCUGUCACCUCUCCAAGCUGCCUUCCCACUCAGGAUCCUCACCCUGCAGGAUGCGUGCUCUUUUUCCAUCACUGACUCAGCUCCUGAUAACUCUCCUCCUGAGGCUUCCCAAAGAGAACCUUCCUGCACAUGAUAAUCCCCACAGCCUCUGCUGAGUGGCUGCCGUGUGUCUUUCUGAGAACACAGCCCAGGCAUGGGGACCGUGUAGAAGAUAUUGACCACGCCGCAGAGGAGGGGGUUAGGACCUUGGUGCUGGAAGCUGAGUUGGGGGUCCGUGGAUGCAGCAUGGGCUGAACAGAAGGCUGAGAAGGAAAAAGAUGACAUCUCUCACUGGCAUCCCAGGUGACCGAUCAUGGCUGGGUAUCAGUGCCCAUCAGUCCAGAAGCAGUGUAAGAUGUGACCACUCAUUGACCCCUCCCACCCCCCACCUAAAGCAGAAGAGAAAAAAAAAUGAAAGAGGACGGGAACUUGACUUUCCAAGCCUAUCAUGAACCAGGUUUUGUCCCAGGCAUUUUAUAAAUAUCAUUUCUUCUUAUUCUUACAAGAACACUCUAGGGUAGGUAUUACUAUCCCCAUUUUGCAGGACAAGUAACCAAUGUCCCAAAAUAGUUGGUGGCAGAGCAAAGCCUUAAAUCCAACACUGGACAAUUCCAGCAUUCAUAUCUUAUCCUUUGCCACAUGGUCACUGAAGACCUUGUAAUCCUGGAGUAUUCAGAGGAGAAUAUCCUCCAUUUGUUCCUCUUCCAAGGAUCCUGGUCUUCUGACUCAGGUGCCCCAACUUGGAAUGAGUUCAUCCUGAUGAUGGAUGGAGCAGUUGGUGGUUGAAAGAGGAAUUGUCCCUUCAGUGGACAGUGGAGUAGGAGAUGUGGGUGGGAGACAUGGAAUGAGAGACCCUGCCCUCUGGCUCAGAUGAGACAUUCAAAGCAGAGAUGCUUCUUCCUCUUGGGUCUUGUGGGAGUUACUUCCUCUCAUUCAAUGUGUGUUGUGGCUUUCAGCAUCCCUAUUCUCAAGCCAACUUCCUUAUCCAUUAUUAUUCAUAACUUCAUUCAACAAUUAUGUGAGGCAGAAAUCCUCAGUGUACAAAUGGAAAAUUAAAAUCCAGAGAUGUUAAGUACCCUACGGAAGUUCUCCCAAGUGUAAGUGAUGUAGGCAUAUCAGGGGGUAAUAAUUUCACACAUUGUGAUUCCUUUCUCUCUGUCAUCCCAGACAUCCAACCAGUUACCGUCUUCCAUUGGGUUAUUCUUCAUAAAGCUUCUUGUACUCCGUUCUCCUCUUAUUCUUUCAUUCCCAUCUUAUACCUGCAGCUGCACCAUUUUUACAUUUCCACCAGCAAUGUAUGAGAAUUUCUCCACAUCAUCUCCAACUCUUGUUAUUUUUUGAUUGUAGCCAACCUAGUGCUGGUGAAGUGGUAUCUCAUUGUGGUUAUGAAUUGCAUUUCUCAAAUGAUUCAUGUUGAACAUGUUUUCAUGAGCAUAUUGACCAUUUGUAUACUUUAUUUGAAGAAAUUUCUUUCUCUCUCGAACUGUCUCUUGUCAUCCAUUGCCCCUACCUCUCCAUUGAGUCUGCUUUUGUCCAGUCACCAGGGAACAUCAUGUUGUUAAAUCCAGUGGUCAAUUCUCAAUCCUCAUUUCCCAUAACGUCUCAGCCGCAGUGGACCUAUAUUUUCUAGAAACACUGUUUUCACUUUGCAUUCACUAUUCACAUUAUUUUCCUCCUACUGGGUGGUUGCUCCUUAGUUUCCUUUAUCAGUAUCUUUCCGUUAUCUCCAACUUCUAAAUUUUGGAAUAACCCAGGGUUCAUACCCAGACCACCCAGACCACGUCUCUUCACUGUCUACACUCAUUUCUUUUUGACGUUACGGCCAUGCAGUAAUCCCAUGACUACAUGACCUUAUGUGGCAAAAGGGACUUAAAGAUAUGAUCCCUCCCCUGGACUCCACAUUGUAAAUAUCCAACGGUUUACUUGACAUCUCCACUUGCGCGUAUAACAAGCAUCCCCAUCUUGACAUGUCUAAAUUCAAACUCCCCAAACAUGCUUCCUAUACAAUUUCUGAUCCCUCCAAACGUCACCUCAAUCCUUCCAUUUUUUCUGGCCACAAAACCUUGGUGUCAUCCUUGACUUCAUUCUUUUUCUCACACCCCACCCUCUAUCUCUAUUAGAAAAUACUGAUAUCUUUUCAUUCUAUAUAUAUUCAAAUAUUUAAUUUCAUAUACCUAUAUGAAAAAAUUACAUUUAUAAUAAAAUACCUCUCACCACCUCCCUAGUCCAAUAGGGUCAUCAUUUCUCACCUGGAUUACUGAAGUAGCCUCUGAGUCUCUUACUUUUGUCUUUAAUCCUUUAAUGUCUAUUUUCAUAAUAUCACCCAGAUUUAUCUUUUCAGAACCUAAGUUAUGUCACAUUACUCGUUAGCUCAGAACUACCCCAUGGGCCCACUUUAUCUGGAAGGCCCUGUAUCAGCUGACCUCAUCUCCCAUGCUCCCCUCCUUCCUAAUCCACUCUAGGACACUGGGCUCCUUGCCAUUCCUUCAAUACUACAUGCAUGCUCCUUCCACAAGGCCUUUGCUCUCUAGAAUUCUCUCCCUCUAGGUAUCCACAUGUCUCAUCUCCUCACCUCCUUCAGGUCUCUGUACAGAUGUUAACUCUUCAGUAAGACCUACCCUGACCUCCCUAUGUAAAACUGCAAACUCUUCCUGAUGCCUUCCUCCCUCCUCCAUGGUCUAUUUUUCUCCAUAGUACUUUCACAAGGCUGUGUGACAGGGUACAUUUAUUCUGGGCUGUAGUUUAAAGACAGGUGGGUAUUGAGGCCUCAAAGUAUAAACUGCAGUCCUAUUACGCAAAUACCAUUAUUAUUCCCAGGAAACUGCAACACUGAUAAAUUAAUGAACUUACUCAAUGUCACAUAACUAAUAGGUGGCAGAGCUGGAAUUGAAAUCUUGGAGUUGGAUUCUAAAGCUCUUAACCACUGUAUACUAGUUAAAUAAAGUAUACUCUCUCCACAUGAGGGAAUACUAUUUAUGUAAUAAGGAGAAUAAGUUACAAAUUACAUCUUUAUAUAUUUGAACGUAAAGUUGCCCAUGAAAUAUUAAAUGAGUUAUGGAACAUGCAUAGUGUUAUCCUAUAUUGUAAAUAUAUAUAAAUAUGUUUAUGUAGGCAUAAAAUAGUCUAAAAGCUAGUAGGUUAAGAAGUUAACAGUGGUUAUCUUCUGCGGUCUGUCUCUUUUUCUGUAUCAUCAGUUUCUUUAUAACACUAAUCAAACAAAUUACCUAUUAAAAAUUUUUAGCAGGACAGUGACAUGAUCAGAGCUGUGCUUCAGAUAGAUAAAGCCAUAUAUACACCAACAGGAAGUUUAUCAUCUAAACCAGUUAACGUACUUAUGCUUAUUUUUACUUUCUUUUGUAUUGAUUGAUGCCUUCAGGAUCUUUAUUGAAAUAACCCCAAAUAUGUCUAGAUCUGUCUUUAUAGUACAGGCAAAGUGGUCUGAUUGAUCCAAAUGGACGCUCCCCGUGAAUUGCGUACAAUCUGGGCUGUUCAUUAGAUCAACUGGAGAGCUUUCAGGAACAGAUACUUGGACUCUAUCCUGAAACUGGGCACCAUCUAUAUUUUUUAAAAACUCAAUAGGUGAUUCUGAUUCAUGAUCAGGCUUUAGAACUGAAACCUUGGGCCUACAUGAACUCUCCAUAAAAUUCAAAUGGGAAUGUACAUGGCAAAGAAAGGCUGUGAGUUUGUCUUCCAAGAUGUUUCUCAGUGUGUGCUAGUAUGUAGGUCAGUAAAUGUUGGUUGAGUGAAGGAAUGAGUGAAUGACAAAGCCCUACAGUUUGGCAUUACAGUUGACUCUUGAACAACGUAGGGGGCUCCCACCCCCUGAGCAGUCAAAAAUUCACAUAAAACUUUACAAUCAGCCCCCUGUAUUCAUAGUACCACAUCCACGGGUUCAAGCAUCCAUGGAUCAUGCAGUACUGUUGUACACGUUUAUUGAAGAAAAUCAGCAUAUAUGUGGACCUGCGCAGUUCAAACUCAUCUGGUUCAAGGGUCAACUGUACUUUGAUGUGUUCACCAUGUGUUCAGAGUCUGACAUGUAGAUUCUUAGCCAAAGCCCAGAAUUUCCAUUUCAUCCAUUGCCCUUUUGCCUUGGGGAUGCAAAAUCUUGAUAAUAAAUGUUAAAAGACACUGGUAAACAAAA